rnacentral:lncRNA from 1 species
AUGGAGUCCUUGGUCAACCCCUUCUACCAUGGGCUCUCCUGUGAGGGCUCUAUCCAAUUUCUGAAAUGGAGGGAACAGAAGGUUGUCAUGGUUGCCAAGGUGACACAGGGUUGCUAUAUGACUGAGGAGUAUGUGUGGAGAGGGUCACAUUGUUAUCCAGCGCUGAGGAGAGAUAGGCAACCUAGGGAGGCCUGGGAGAAAGAGUUGGGCAGUCACCAAGCAUUUGGCAGAAGCAACUCAGCUGGCCUAGAAAGGUCCAUUCCAGAUACCUGUCAUUGAAAAUGAUUAGUUACAUACAUCAGGGACAAGACUAUAAAUACAAAAUGGAUGCUAUUUUUAAGGACAUUGAAAUUCAAGAAGACUACCAAUGGACAAUUGGACAAUUGGACAAUAUUUACAAGAAUAUUGGAUUACCAUAAGGACUACUACAAAUGGACAUUAUUUUAAGGAUACUGAAUUUUGCGUUUAAAGAUUUCUCGUACAUAAAGGCUUGAAAUGAAAUGUAAUGGGUAAGUGUAUCAUUUAUGUUAUAUUAUUUUAUUAUGUUAUUUUGUAUAUAUUAUGUUAUAGGAUUUAUUAGUUCUAUGUAGAAAUAAUAAUAAUAAUACUUCUAUAGGAUUAUAUAAAAAGUUAUCGAUGUAAUAUACUUUUAUAGAGAAAGUUAAAAUUAACUAAAUGUUAAGUAAAUGGUAGUGUUAUAACUGUUGAACAAUAUCCACCUCAGGGGGGAUAUGUAGAAAUAAUAAUGGUAAAGUAGAGGAAGGGACAGGAAGUGAUGCCAAAAAAAGGCCUUUAAAAAUGUCCUAAACUUCCUGUCAGGACAUCUUUGCGAGGUCUUUGAGCUCUUGAAGGAUCUUGGACUGGGACUGCAAUGUGGAGCUACAACUUCAGUGAGUAAAAAGCUGACUCCUUUUCUGGCUUUUGGAGAGAUUAAUUUCCAGAGAGGCCUCUCCUUCUUGGAAGAGGCUGCAUGGGUAGAACCCUUGUUUUAUUCACCACCAGGCCCUCCAGCUGAGGGUCCUCAGGCUGGGGGCUAACUAGCUCUGCCUGGGUUGAGCCAGGGACCAGAGCAAAUAGCAUGUGUGUCAGGGAAGUUCAUUCCCUCCCCCUCCUGGAGGACUGACAGGUUGAUCCACAUUCUCCACAUGCCAGAGUUUGUGUCCGUGAAUGUCCGUGAACAUCCUGUACAUCAAUAAAAGAAAGAGGGUAGGAACUCA